GUGGGCUAUCAGGACCUGAUUCGGGCUCGGCCCGAUCCUCCCACCCUUUGUGUACCUACCUCUGUUGCUUUGGCGGGCCGCGGUCCUCCGCGGCCGCCCCCCUCCCCGGGGGGGUGGCCAGCGCCCGCCAGAGGACCAUCAAACUCCAGUCAGUAAACGAUGCAGUCUGAAAAACAUUUAAUAAACUAAAACUUUCAACAACGGAUCUCUUGGUUCUGGCAUCGAUGAAGAACGCAGCGAAAUGCGAUAAGUAAUGUGAAUUGCAGAAUUCAGUGAAUCAUCGAAUCUUUGAACGCACAUUGCGCCCUUUGGUAUUCCGAAGGGCAUGCCUGUUCGAGCGUCAUUACAACCCUCAAGCUCUGCUUGGUAUUGGGCACCGUCCUUUGCGGGCGCGCCUCAAAGACCUCGGCGGUGGCGUCUUGCCUCAAGCGUAGUAGAACAUACAUCUCGCUUCGGAGCGCAGGGCGUCGCCCGCCGGACGAACCUUCUGAACUUUUCUCAAGGUUGACCUCGGAUCAGGUAGGGAUACCCGCUGAACUUAAGCAUAUCAAUAAGCGGAGGAA
rnacentral:rRNA from 1 species